rnacentral:rRNA from 1 species
UACGGAGGGUGCAAGCGUUAUCCGGAAUCAUUGGGUUUAAAGGGUCCGUAGGCGGGUCAUUAAGUCAGAGGUGAAAUCCCACAGCUUAACUGUGGAACUGCCUUUGAUACUGGUGGUCUUGAGUUUUAGUGAAGUAGAUAGAAUGUGUAGUGUAGCGGUGAAAUGCUUAGAUAUUACACAGAAUACCGAUUGCGAAGGCAGUCUACUAACUAACAACUGACGCUAAUGGACGAAAGCGUGGGGAGCGAACAGG